GGAAGUUAAGAAACUGUUUCUUAAUUUUUAACUUUUAACUAAAAAAGUUAAGAACCGAUUCUUAAAUAAGGACUUUAAGAACCGAUUCUUAACUUUUUUAGUUAAAAGUUAAGAAACAGUUUCUUAACUUCU
rfam:Brassica napus, WGS project CCCW01000000 data, contig: 1411